rnacentral:rRNA from 1 species
CAAUAGCGUAUAUUUAAGUUGCUGCAGUUAAAAAGCUCGUAGUUGGAUUUCGGGUGGGAAUGGCCGGUCCGCCGUUUCGGUGUGCACUUGCUACGCCCACCUUGCUGCCGGGGACGUGCUCUUGAGUUCACGCUCGGGACACGGAGUCGGCGAGGUUACUUUGAGUAAAUUAGAGUGUUCAAAGCAGGCCUACGCUCUGAAUACAUUAGCAUGGAAUAACACGAUAGGACUCUGGCCUAUCUUGUUGGUCUGUAGGACCGGAGUAAUGAUUAAGAGGGACAGUCGGGGGCAUUCGUAUUUCAUUGUCAGAGGUGAAAUUCAUGGAUUUAUGAAAGACGAACUACUGCGAAAGCAUUUGCCAAGGAUGUUUUCAUUAA